ACGGGGGCGGGACUGGACGACGUUAUCCAUUAGCGUCGUCAGUCAGUCACGCUGGGAGGACACUAACAGUUUAUUUUAUACGUUUCCUCUGCAAAGACAAAGCGGGAGACGAUGGCGCCGCUAAAGAUGAUUGAAUACGAGACAUAAAAACAGACACGUGCUUUACGAGCGCCGAGACGUGCACCGAGUAUCGUGGAGGAUUCAUCACAAAAACAUCAAUCAAGAUCACGUUGUUUUUUUUCCUUUUUUUUGCUACAAAAGCUGCGCUCUGAUUGGUCGACUCACAGGAUGGGGCGGGACUGGAAGUCCUCCUGAUUCAUUCUCUCCGACUGGCGUAUCUUGAGGAUCUCGGUGUAGCUCAGGUUCUGCAGGCGACUCUUGAACUGGUCCAGGGAAUUAGGCUUGAGUGUCAGCGCUCGCAUGAUCUGCUCCCGCACCACCUGCAUGACCUGCGACACAGGAAGAAGACGGAGGGGGGCGGAGUCAGAGACAGGAAGUCAAACAUGAGAGAGCGAGCCUGCUUCCGGAGGACAUCAGUGACGUCUACAUGUAGAUUGUCUUUCCGAUUCUCAGAGGAGAUGGAGGCGGAUGAAGACGCUCGCACAAACGCAACAACAACGCAUGCGACUGAGAAGCACCAGAGACACGGCCGUGCAGCCCGGAAGGAGGCGCACUCACACAUGCUGAUGAUGAUGAUGAUGAUGAUCUCAUGAUGAGUGUUGGAUUUUCUCCAUCAAUGAAACAUCAGUGCAUGUUUCUAUUGCGCGUCUUUGAGUUGACGUCCACAAAAACAUCAAAGAGUGACACCAGCAACACGAUCACCACGAUCACCGCAUGCAAACCACCAGCGCUGUUGACCCAUGAGCUAGCUGCACCGUAUGCUAGACUUGCACAUUGUUUGAAUUCCAAACUUCUACUUUCUAUUUAUUAUUUGAUGUGAUUGGGUUAGGAUUGGGACUCGGGCUAGCGUUAAAGCUAGGCCUCAGGUUAGCGUUGGGCUUAGUCUAAAAGUAUCCUAAACACUUCAUUUGUAAGGAAAAAUAUCAAAUUAAAUGUAAAAAUGAUGAGUAUAGAUGUUUUAUUUAUUAUUAUAUAUUUUAUGUUUUUAGAUCUUAUAUAUUUAAUUUAUAAAUGUAUAUUUGAUUUAUUGAUACUUUAUUGUAGGGAUGUCCGAUAUUGGCUUUUCUGCUCCGAUAUUGUCCAACUCUCAAUUUCCGAUUCCGAUAUCAACCGAUACUGAUGUGUGUAACAUCGCAUAUCCUUUUCUUGAGUAAAGUUGUUGUAAAGUAACAAUACUCUUAAAUGAGUACGGUUGUUUUGUUGGCUACUCCACCCAUCUGAGUAGAUCAUUCAUGUAUUACAUAUUUCAUAUCAGAUUACUUUUGUGGUUCUUGUGUUAUUUUUGGAAAGAUUUAAUACAUUUUUAGUUAAAGGGGUGUCGUUUAGAAUACAUGAAUUUGCUGAUUAUUAUUUGGAUUGAUAGCGUUCAUGUUCUUAUUUUAUAUUCCUAUGGAAUGUGGGAGGGAACCGGAGUACCCGGAGAAAACCCACGCACACACGGGGAGAACAUCCAGUAUCGACCCAAUGAUUAUCGGUGGCCAACAUUAUCAGCAUCCCUACUUUAUUUUAUACUUGAUAUAUUUGACAUAUAUCGGUGACAUAUUUGUUACUUAUUUUUUACUGUAUAUACAAUUUAAUUCCUAUAGUAUAUAUUUUAAUGUAUUUGUUUUAGAUUUUAUUUAUAUAUUUUAUAUAUGUAGUUUAUUAUUUUACUGACACGUUUUAAUUUAUAUAGUUUGAUAGUGUAUAUUUUUAUUUUUACAUUUUAUUUAUAUAUUUUUUAUUUGAUGUACUUGCAUUUUAUUUGAUAUUUCUGUUUAUAUAUUUUAUAUAUGUUGUUUAUACAUAUUUUUAACUCGUAUAUAUUUUUACUUGCAAUUUACAUUUAAUUUGUAGUUUAUGUUGUAUAUUUUUAUUUUGAUAUUUUUAAAAAUAGAAAUAUAUAGUCAUUGUUUUCGCAUCAUAUUUUUACUGAUAUAUUUUGAGUUUCCAGGUCAUCACUGGAACACCAACUGGAGCCCCGACCCCAACCCCACCCCCACCCCAAGUCCUAACCCUAGCCUAAAAAAAAAAUCCCCUAAAUUGAUGAAUUGUCCACCACGAGCGGCAGCUGAGAGCAGAGCGGACGUACCUUGUUGAAGUCCUCGCUGGUGGCCCUCAUCUCCUUCCAGGUCUUGUUGAGCAGCUGGAUGCAGAUGCAGAAGAACUCCUCGAAGGAGCGGUCGUGUGUGAAGAACAUGGGGUGGAAGUCGUGGCAGUUUUCGCCGGCUGUGGACAAGCAGAUGGACGCCCAACGUCAGGGACGAGGAUGAUGAUUAGCAUGAAGCAUGAAGGUUUGACACUCUUCACGUUGUUUCAAAGUGUUUUUGUGUGCAACUGUUGAGCUAAGUUUGGCCUUUAGUCCUGAGGAGUGUCACGGUUGGGGGCGGAGACGAAGACAAGCAUAGUGUGUGCGAGAUGGAGCCACUCCCAAAAGCAGGAAGUCGUUCACUUUCAAGGUUUUUGCAAAGCAUCCAAGCUUCCAAGACCGUCCCGACCAAAGCCAAACAUAUUUAUGUCCUCCUUGCUCACAGGAGCAGACAUGCUUGCUCGCAGGUUGUGUAUCCAUGAAUAUUUCACCACAAACCUUCACGUUGGCCUACACUGUCGAUAUUUUGGGCUCAUCUAAGAGACACGCCCCUGCUUUGGAGGAGGCUUCACCGUACCGACAAACACGUUUUGCUUCCCUGCCGAAAUGUCACCGCAGAGCCUCCCGCGCCACUGCAGCGUUUACGCCUGGAAAGAUCUCCGAGUGCAAAGUCGUGUCGCCGUCGUUCACUCAGCGCCUCGCUUGCAGCACGACCAGCCCUUCCGAGGCGGCACCUUCUUUAUGCGUGGCAGCGUAAUAACGCCUUGAAUGUCACAAACCAUCACAUCUAAUGUGCUUUAAUCUGCUCGCUGAUGUGUCAUGCUCUUCUUAAGAGUGUGUGUGUGUGUGUGUGUGUGUGUGUGUGUGUAGCAGUGUUACAUCACACUCUUGUUGCUCUCUACCCCCAAUUAAAAACGGUGCCGAGUGCAACCGUUGUUGUUGUUUCAUAAGCGCUACACACGAACGUCGUACAGUCGAUGCCUGCUUUUUGUGGGGCUUAAGGGACCACCAAUGAAUGGAAUUGAUACGCCCAUAAAAAGGUCUAUUUUUGACACAUGGUGCACUCCUCCCCUGCGUGGAAGUUCCCCUCCAAUUUCGGAUCGACAUUUGCAAUAAAUGUGGCUGUUGUGAUUAUAAGAAUAGAUGAAAAAAAACAACACUAUUUUGAGAGAAAAAAUAUUUCUUUGCUCCACAAGCUGCACACUGACUACUCUACAGCAGGGCUUUAAUCUUGCUGGUCCUAACAAAAGAGUUUGCAGAGAGAAACCCCCAACAAAAACCUCUCCUGGGACGUGCGUGCUGGCCUGCUCGGUGGUCAGGAGACGAGCUGUCAUCGUCGGACUGCAAGUCAGAGCGUGUCUAUUUUUGUGUCGGGCAGAAGAAGUGGGAGGGGGCAUGGGGGGAUGGGUGUGUUUGCUGGGCGCUCCUCUCUGCCGACCCCCCCGAGGGCUUGAAGUGACGUCAGCAUAGGAGCUCAUUAGUCGGCCGGCCACCAUGCAAAUGACGCCUGCGGGGGGCGCAGGGGGGUGACUUUACUGGGCAUGGCGCCAUCCCUGACAUCUGCCAAGGUCCACUCUGUGUGUGCGUGUGUGCAGAGUCACCUUGCAGCGAUGCCACAUGAUGAAUCCACAGUGAAAGAUGUCAUCCUCACUCUAAUUGUAUAAGCCUCAUGUCCAACUGUGACCAGGGGGAAGUGCAUGUGUGUGUGUGUGUGUGUGUGUGUGUGUGUGUGUGUGUGUGUGUGUGUGUGUGUGUGUGUGUGUGCCAGCAACCAACGUCAGCACAAUGUUACAGUCCUGUGUGUGUGCGUGUGUGGCCAUGUUUGAGAGGCUCUCUGCCCUCAAGUGAAUAAUAUAAUAGUAUUUGCAUUGCUAUUUACAUUUUGCAGUAGGGUGGGGUUUUUGUGAACCGGGGGU